GAUGAAGAACGCAGCGAAAUGCGAUACGUAAUGUGAAUUGCAGAAUUCAGUGAAUCAUCGAGUCUUUGAACGCACAUUGCGCCCCUUGGUAUUCCAUGGGGCAUGCCUGUUCGAGCGUCAUUUGUACCUUCAAGCUCUGCUUGGUGUUGGGUGUUUUGUCUCGCCUCUGCGUGUAGACUCGCCUUAAAACAAUUGGCAGCCGGCGUAUUGAUUUCGGAGCGCAGUACAUCUCGCGCUUUGCACUCAUAACGGCGACGUCCAAAAGUACAUUUUUACACUCUUGACCUCGGAUCAGGUAGGGAUACCCGCUGAACUUAAGCAUAUCAAUAAGCGGAGGA
rnacentral:misc_RNA from 1 species